UACCUGGUUGAUCCUGCCAGUAAUCAUAUGCUUGUCUCAAAGAUUAAGCCAUGCAUGUCUAAGUACAUGCCGAAAUAAGGCGAAACCGCGAAUGGCUCAUUAAAUCAGUUAUGGUUCCUUAGAUCGUUUCUUCCUACUUGGAUAACUGUGGCAAUUCUAGAGCUAAUACAUGCAGUGAGCCUGAAGCCCUUUGGGCGACGGGUGCUUUUAUUAGACCAAGAUCGAUCGGGUUUCGGCCCGUAUUGUGUGGUGACUCUGGAUAACUUUGUGCUGAUCGCAUGGCCACGAGCCGGCGACGUUUCUUUCAAGUGUCUGCCUUAUCAACUUUCGAUGGUAGGUUACUUGCUUACCAUGGUUGUUACGGGUAACGGAGAAUCAGGGUUCGAUUCCGGAGAGGGAGCCUGAGAAACGGCUACCACAUCCAAGGAAGGCAGCAGGCGCGCAAAUUACCCACUCCCGGCACGGGGAGGUAGUGACGAAAAAUAACAAUACGGGACUUUUUUGAGGCCCCGUAAUUGAAAUGAGUACACUCUAAAUCCUUUAACGAGGAUCAAUUGGAGGGCAAGUCUGGUGCCAGCAGCCGCGGUAAUUCCAGCUCCAAUAGCGUAUACUAAAGCUGCUGCGGUUAAAAAGCUCGUAGUUGGAUCUCAGUUCCAGACGAGUAGUGCAUCUACCCGAUGCGACGGCUCGGACUGAACAUCAUGCCGGUCCUUUCUUGGUGCACUUCAUUGUGUGCCUCGAGAAGGCCGGUGCUUUUACUUUGAAAAAAUUAGAGUGCUCAACGCAGGCGAGUCGCCUGAAUAAACUUGCAUGGAAUAAUAGAACAAGACCUCGUUUCUGUUCUGUUGGUUUUUGGAAUACGAGGUAAUGAUUAAGAGGGACAGACGGGGGCAUUCGUAUUGCGGCGCUAGAGGUGAAAUUCUUGGACCGUCGCAAGACGAACUACUGCGAAAGCAUUUGCCAAGAAUGUUUUCUUUGAUCAAGAACGAAAGUCAGAGGUUCGAAGGCGAUCAGAUACCGCCCUAGUUCUGACCAUAAACGAUGCCAACCAGCGAUCCGCCUGAGUUACUCAAAUGACUCGGCGGGCAGCUUCCGGGAAACCAAAGUGUUUGGGUUCCAGGGGAAGUAUUGUUGCAAAGCUGAAACUUAAAGGAAUUGACGGAAGGGCACCACCAGGAGUGGAGCCUGCGGCUUAAUUUGACUCAACACGGGAAAACUUACCCGGCCCGGACACUGGGAGGAUUGACAGAUUGAGAGCUCUUUCUUGAUUCGGUGGAUGGUGGUGCAUGGCCGUUCUUAGUUGGUGGAGCGAUUUGUCUGGUUAAUUCCGAUAACGAACGAGACUCUAGCCUAUUAAAUAGGUGCGGGGUUCCCAGCACCUUACAACCUUCUUAGAGGGACAAGCGGCUCCUAGCCGCACGAAACAGAGCAAUAACAGGUCUGUGAUGCCCUUAGAUGUCCGGGGCCGCACGCGCGCUACACUGAAGGAAGCAGCGUGUCUUUAUCCCUGUCUGAAAAGACUGGGUAACCCGUGGAACUUCUUUCGUGAUUGGGAUAGGGGCUUGCAAUUGUUCCCCUUGAACGAGGAAUUCCCAGUAAGCGCGAGUCAUAAGCUCGCGUUGAUUACGUCCCUGCCCUUUGUACACACCGCCCGUCGCUACUACCGAUUGAAUGAUUUAGUGAGGUGUUCGGACCGAUGUCCGGCGCGGCCUUUCGGUUGCGCCGGUCUGUUGGAAAGAUGACCAAACUUGAUCAUUUAGAGGAAGUAAAAGUCGUAACAAGGUUUCCGUAGGUGAACCUGCGGAAGGAUCAUUA
rnacentral:rRNA from 1 species